AUGAACCGUAGACAUGCAAAAUGGGUUGAACUUAUUGAAUCUUUUCAUUAUGUUAUUAAGCACAAGAAAGGGAAGGAGAAUGUUAUUGCCGAUGCAUUGUCUAGACGCUAUACCCUGUUAUCACAACUUGACUUCAAAUUUUUUGGACUUGAAACUAUAAAAGAGCAAUACGCUAAUGAUGUCGACUUUAAAGAUAUAUUGCUCAAUUGCAGAGAGGGUAGAACUUGGAACAAGUUCGUCGUUAAUGACAGAUUGUUUUUCAUGCUAAUAAGCUAUGCAUCCCAGAUAGCUCUGUUCAUCUUUUGUUGUUACAGGAGGCGCAUGGCGGAGGACUUAUAG
rnacentral:rRNA from 1 species